rnacentral:rRNA from 1 species
UGCGUAGGCGGUAAUGAAAGUCAGAUGUGAAAUCCCGGGGCUCAACCCCGGAACAGCAUUUGAAACUCCAUUACUAGAGGGUAGGCGGAGAAAAUGGAAUUCCACAAGUAGCGGUGAAAUGCGUAGAUAUGUGGAGGAACACCGGUGGCGAAGGCGGUUUUCUAGCUUACACCUGACGCUGAGGCACGAAAGCAAGGGGAGCAAACA